rnacentral:lncRNA from 1 species
UUCUAUGUUUCUUUUUUCCACAUUCUAUAGGGACAUAUGAAAAUGGGGAAUAUCAGCUUAACCUGCAAUCAAUAAGCACCCAUUAAGUCUUAACAGAUAUUUAGCUCUUGCAUAUCCUCUUUCUAUGCCUUGAAUGCCUUGUGUCUACUCUUAAAAUAUUUUUAAGGCGCUGGAGCAGGAAAGGCUGGAGAGAGAAAGGACGGAAAGAGGAAGGUUGGAGAGAGAGAGGUUAGAAAGGGAAAGGCUGGAGAGGGAGCAACUGGAACAAGAACAGCUGGAGAGAGAGAGACAGAACGGGAACAGCAGGAAGUCCUGGAUCGGGACAGGCAAGAAAGACAAGACAGAGACAGGCUGGAGAGACUGAAACGGGAGAGGCAAGAAAGGGAGUGACAAGAACAGUUAGAAAGGGAACAGCUGGAAUGGGAGAGAGAGUGCAGAAUAUCGAAUGCUGGCAUUGUCUUGGGACCACUUGCACCUCCACCUCCUCCACCACUCCCACCAAGGCCUGCACAGGCUUCAGUAGCACUCCCUCCUGGCCCAGGACUCCCUCCACCUCCUCCACUCCCAUCUCUUUCCCUCUGAGCUGGCUGUUUUUCUCUGGCCUUUACAACAGAAAGGAAGAGAAUCAUAUAAGAGUUCCUGUAACAGUUAUGCAGAAAAUACUAAAACCCAUCAGGCAAGAUCGCUGCACAUUGAAAUAUUUUCAUGUCAAGAUAAAAUAGCACAUUUUCCACAAUUCAUUGCUUAAAUAAAGAGGAGGAAGGCUUAGGAAGUUUUUUUGCAGAGAGUGCUGAUAAAGAAUUGAGCAAGUUUCCUAUUGUAUUGUAAUGCUUCUCUCAGGUUUGCUCUUCCUAUCAAGUCUGAUAUUCCGUGAAUAAUUGAGAUCAGCCCUAUGUAAGUUCAGAUCAUAAUAUGUGGAACAAAUGGAAUUGUAAGUGCUUUCAAAGGAUAAUAUUUAGAAGAAAGUGUCAUAAAUUUGUUCAGCUUGAGGGAUUUUAGAACGAUGGAAAGUCUCUUGAGUUAGCCUUCAUGCAAUUUUGUAAAUUAAAACAUAAAAUUUGUCCAGAAUUUAAAGAUUUAGAUGCCUUCCUAAAUUCUUACAAUGCUUUACCACAUCUAAAGACUUCUACAUAACACAAACCAGUGGUCAAAUGUAAACACUAUAUUGCAGACUUACUGUAGAUUUUCCACCUUUUUAGAUUUAUGCAUGUGGGCAUUUUUAUAAUGUAAUUACAAUCACCACGAAGUGAGCUUUUUAAAUUGCAGACAGUAACGCAUGUGACACUAAUAUGUAGUGGCCUUUUCAAGGCCUAGUUCCAGAGAAAACAUUUUGUAGAGUAUAGGGGGGUGGGAAGAAGUGGAGAAA